AAAGAGGGGGAGGGCGGGGGAAGGGAGGGGGAAGGGAGGGAGAGGGACCGAGGAGGGGAGAUAUCCCUCCGCAGAGCUGGGUCUGGCCGCGGGCGGGGAAGCAGGAAGUAAGGUGUCCAGCGCCGCGACCGGCUGGUCGUCCGCCUCGGCCCCCGCCCGCGUCCCCUUUCCCCCGGGGCGCAGCGCUACGGCGGGCGCGGGCCGCCCGGCGCAUUGUUCGCAGCCUUCGCGGCGGUGCGCUGCUGACUUUAUUUGUGCGCUUUGCGUGUGCGUGAGGUUGCACCUUUUGUAGGCUGGCGAGUCUCUGGACGAGGAUGGGACGGGGGACACGGGCCCAGUUGCGGCCCUGCGCGAGCGGGACCUGUCAGCCCUGAGGUGCAGCGGACCCUCCGGCAUGGCCGGAAAAUCGAGGCCGGGGAGAAGGCAGCGUGGCCGGGAAGCUGCCGCCUUAAACCCGGACCAGUGCAGGAUUGCUUCCUGCGUAGCCGUCCCGGUUAUUGUAACACGCUUUGCAAGCUAACGACUGGGAAUAAAGCCAAGUUGUGAUUUCGCCUCUACAGACCUCUCUACCCGCCCAGCUCUUCCUCGGAUAUUCUCCUAAACCAGAAGCUGCAGAGAAGGAAGGAUUUGGGAUUUGCGGCUACACAGCCAAGGACGCUUUUGUCAUCUUCAAAGGACCCCCUACACCCUACACGCUUGGCCCGCUCUGUUCAUUGCCAACAGAGUGAUGGUUGAAUGCAUUCACAUGGUUCCAAAUUCAAAUAAACAGCAAGAAGUCUCCCUCCCACCCUGUCUGCCACCCACUUGGUUUUCCUUCUCUGGAGGCAACCUGGGUUAGUGGUCAGAAGAUGCAUUUAACUGUUUUCCAGCUGAGGCCUUGUGAGAACUCCUCGGACACCAAUUUAAAUCUUUAUGUCCAGAACUCCUUUCUCCAAUCCAGAGAUGAGGUUCCACCAUUCUUGCCCAGACUGGUUUCGAACUCCUGGACUCAAGCGAUUUGCCUGCCUCGGCCUCAAAAAGUGCUGGGAUUACAUGCAUGAGCCACCACACCCGGACCCUCUCUCUUAAAUAGUGGCCCUUUUGCCUCUCUGCAACACAGGAAAAAUUCUGUUAGCCUGCAUCAGAAGGAGUGGCAUGGAGGCUUUGGAGUUAAGAAGAUUUAAUUCAAAUUAUGUGUCCGGUGCCUGCCAGCAAUGAGACCUUGGUAAGGUUUCUUAACCUCUCUGAGCUGGGACCAUACCUUCUGCGUUGGUUUAAUAUAAAGGUUAAAUGCAUGUAAAUAAAUGACUUCUAAAAUAAAUAACAUUCUAAAAUGUUAGUAACAACUAAAUACAAUAUUUAGAUCUUGUGAGGAUUUGAUUUGAAUAAAUAAGAUUUUUUUAAAAGACAUUUUUGAGACAAAAUGUAGACUAUCUGAUAUUAAGAAAUUAAUCACUUUUUCAGAUAUGAUAAUGGCAUUGCAGUUUUUUUUAAGUUCUUAUCUAUUACAGAUACAUAAUGAGGCAUUUUGAGUGAAAAUAUAUCUAGGAUUUGCUUUCCAAUACUCCAUCCCCUCCCCAUCAAAACACUAAAUAAAUGAAACAAGAUUAGUGAAAUACGGAAAAUUGUUGAAGUUAUUCAUUAUUCCAUUUCCCAUAUGGAACUUUCCAUACUAGUUUCCCUACUGCUGUUGAAUAUUUGACAUGUUUCAAAUACAUUUGAAAUAAAUUUAUUGUCUGAGAUGAUCAGGUUGAAAAAUAAUAAAAUGAAAUAAAUUUAAAAGUAAAAUAAACAUAACCCUUUUAAGCAUUAAAAUUAAAAAUUAUGAGGCUUGUUGAAUUAUUACUGUUAUAAAUAAUUACAUACAUGUAUUUUUGAAACAGUCUUGCUCUUUCACCCAGGCUGCAGUGCAGUGGCAUAAUCACAGUUCACUGCGGCCUCAACCUCCCAGGCUCAGGUGAUCCUUGCACGUCUGCCUCCCAAGUAGCUGGGACUGCAGGUGUGCACCACCAUGCCUGGCUAAAUUUUUCUCUUUUGUAGAGACGGGUUUUGCGAUUUUGCCCACACUGGUCUUAAAGUCCUGGG
rnacentral:lncRNA from 10 species